GAUGAACGCUGACAGAAUGCUUAACACAUGCAAGUCUACUUGAAUUCACUUCGGUGAUAGUAAGGUGGCGGACGGGUGAGUAACACGUAAAGAACUUGCCUUACAGUUUGGGACAACUAUUGGAAACGAUAGCUAAUACCGAAUAUUAUGAAUUUUCUGCAUGGAAGAUUUAUGAAAGCUAUAUGCGCUGUAAGAGAGCUUUGCGUCCCAUUAGCUAGUUGGUGAGGUAACAGCUCACCAAGGCGACGAUGGGUAGCCGGCCUGAGAGGGUGAACGGCCACAAGGGGACUGAGACACGGCCCUUACUCCUACGGGAGGCAGCAGUGGGGAAUAUUGGACAAUGGACCAAAAGUCUGAUCCAGCAAUUCUGUGUGCACGAUGAAGGUCUUCGGAUUGUAAAG
rnacentral:rRNA from 1 species